rnacentral:rRNA from 1 species
UCCGCUCUUUAAUCUGAAGACGUGAUGUGGACUGAAAAUAAGUAGGGAAGCACGUGAGCUGACUGUCAAGAAAAGCCGCUAUUGUUUGCAGGAUACCCGUACCGUAAACCGACACAGGUGGAUGAGGAGAGAAUCCUAAGGCCGACGGGAGAAGCAUUGUUAAGGAACUCGGCAAAAUGACUCCGUAACUUCGGGAGAAGGAGUGCCAGUAAGAUGGCCGCAGAGAAUUGGCCCAAGCAACUGUUUAGCAAAAACACAGGUCUAUGCAAAACCGAAAGGUGAGGUAUAUGGGCUGACGCCUGCCCGGUGCUGGAAGGUUAAGGGGAGAGGUUAGCGCAAGCGAAGCUUUGAACUUAAGCCCCAGUAAACGGCGGCCGUAACAAUAACGGUCCUAAGGUAGCGAAAUUCCUUGUCGGGUAAGUUCCGACCCGCACGAAAGGCGUAAUGAUUUGGGCACUGUCUCAACAAUGCACCCGGUGAAAUUGAAAUACCAGUGAAGAUGCUGGUUACCUGCGCCAGGACGGAAAGACCCCAUGGAGCUUUACUCCAGCUUGAUACUGGGAUUCGGUAUUGCAUGUACAGGAUAGGUGGGAGGCUAGGAAAUGGUAACACCAGUUGCCAUGGAGCCAAUGUUGGGAUACCACCCUUGCAGUACUGGGUUUCUAACCAGCAGCCGUGAUCCGGCUGGGGGACAAUGUCAGGUGGGGAGUUUGACUGGGGCGGUCGCCUCCGAAAGGGUAUCGGAGGCGCUCAAAGGUUCCCUCAGAAUGGUUGGAAACCAUUCGAAGAGUGCAAAGGCAGAAGGGAGCUUGACUGCGACACCGACGGGUGGAGCAGGUACGAAAGUAGGACUUAGUGAUCCGGUGGUAUAAAGUGGGAUUGCCAUCGCUCAACGGAUAAAAGCUACCCUGGGAUAACAGGCUUAUCACUCCCAAGAGUUCACAUCGACGGAGUGGUUUGGCACCUCGAUGUCGGCUCAUCGCAUCCUGGGGCUGAAGUAGGUCCCAAGGGUUGGGCUGUUCGCCCAUUAAAGCGGUACGCGAGCUGGGUUCAGAACGUCGUGAGACAGUUCGGUCCCUAUCCGGCGUGGGCGUAAGAUAUUUGAGAGGAGCUGUCCUUAGUACGAGAGGACCGGGAUGGACUGGCCGCUGGUGUAUCUGUUGUCUUACCAAAGGCAUAGCAGAGUAGCCAAGCCGGGAAGGGAUAAACGCUGAAGGCAUCUAAGCGUGAAGCCCCCCUCAAGAUGGGAUAUCUCAUAACGUCAAGUUAGUAAGACCCCUUGAAGACGACGAGGUAGAUAGGGCAGAGGUGGAAGUGUGGUAACACAUGGAGCUGACUGUUACUAAUAGGUCGAGGGCAUAACUG